rnacentral:rRNA from 1 species
UUACAUCAGCAGUCAUCCAAGUGAUGGAGUGUGGAUGCCACCAGUCCCAAGGUGGCCAUUUGGACAUCCUCCAAAACCUAGUGGCUAAUACACGAAUGAAACAGUCUGCCACAUCAAGCUGGCCUUGGUCAAAGGUCACUGUGGUGGAUUGCUACCAGCUGACUUCAAGACCUGCGCCCGCAAGGGCAGUGUGUCUCAGCUGACUCAGGCUGGUCCAACUGGACACAGCACUGGCUAGUAGAGUGGCUCAACCACUGCUUGCCUGAUCACUCGAACUUCUGACCUAUCAGCUCUGACUGUGGUGUAGUGGACCACAGUGGCCGUGACGGGUAACGGAGAAUUUGGGUUCGACUCCGGAGAGGCAGCCUGAGAGACGGCUACCACUACCAAGGUGGGCAGCAGGCGCGCAAAUUGCCCAAUACCAAAGCUCAAGGUGAGGCAGCGACGAACUGCAGCAAUUCUGCUGGUAUCACUACCAGCUGAACUUGUAAUGGAUGCUAUCCAAACACAGUGAUGAGUAGCCACUGGAGGGCAAGUCUGGUGCCAGCAGCUGCGGUAAUUCCAGCUCCAAGGGCGUAUACUAACAUUGCUGCGGUUAAAACACUUGUAGUCUGCCACUGGGUUGCAGGUCUGGCAGGUGGCCAGCUGGGUCUUGCAGGGUGUGGUGUUGCACUUCGGGUGCAGCCAUGUCUUGCUUGGUCCACUGGAUACAACCCCUGUCAGUAUGUCCCUGCACCCACUUCCAAUGAUGGUGAGAUCAGCUCCUGCCCAAAGUCUCCUUCACUGGAGGCCUGAAGCGGCAAUGCAACCGCAAGCUUGCGUGGAGAUCAGGGCCAACUACCAUGUGUGUUGUCCAAGCCCCUCCGCCACCGGAGUCCACCAUCACUGACACCCUGGAAAACUCAGUGUGCUCAAAGCAUCCAGCUUGGCUGAAUGCCUGUCCAUGGAAUGUCAAAGCAUCGACCGAACCUGGCAAUGGAGUUGUGCAGGCCUUGGAGCCGGUUCAGGAGAAUGUGGUGCUGCACCCUGGCUUGGGACAGACCAGCCUUCGGGCUUGGACCCUGGACCAGCCUGGUGUUGCAGUUACCUACCGAAGAUGAUGGGACUGCUCAGGGUGGAAGGUAUUGGAGCGCCAGAGGUGAAAUUCUUAGACCGCUGCAAGACCAACUGCAGCGAAGGCGUUCUGCAAGGGCAUGUUCGUCGAUCAAGAAUGAAAGCGUGGGGAGCGAAGAUGAUCAGACACCAUCGUAGUCCACUGCUGUAAACUAUGCCAGCUUGGUCUUGGUGAGGCAAUACUCUUGACCUCAUCAGUGCCAUACCCCCUGCAACGAGAAAUCCAAGCCUGUGGGUUCCGGGGGGAGUACGGUCGCAAGGCUGAAACUUAAAGGAAUUGACGGAAUGGCACCACAAGGCGUGGAGUAUGCGGCUUAAUUUGACUCAACACGGGGAAUGUUACCAGGUCAGGACAUUGUCAGGAUGGACAGACUGCUAGCUCUUGCUUGAUCCAGUGGAUGGUGGUGCAUGGCCGCUCNUGAUUGGUGGAGUGAUUUGUCUGGUUGAUUCCGAUAANGAGUGAGAUNUCUGCCUUCCACUAGCCCCUGUCUCGCAUCUGGUAGGGUGGACCCUUGGGAUACCUGGGCUGGUGGCUUGCCACUUGGUUCAGGUCCCUUGUGGUUCCCCGAGAGUGCAGGGUUGCUUCUCUGAGGUGCUGCGUACACUGCCAAGUGCGCGCAUGCUAGAGCCAACAGCAGGUCUGUGAUGCUCCUAGAUGUCCUGGGCCGCACGCGCACUACAUUGACACAGUGAAGGUGUGAUACUCCUCUUGGAGUCCUGCUCAGAAGUGUGUGGGAAACCCUGCAAGCCUGUGCUGUACUGGGGAUAGAUGAUUGCAACUGUCUGCCUUGAACGAGGAAUGCCUAGUAUGCGUGAGUCAUCAGCUCACACAGAA